rnacentral:rRNA from 1 species
UCAAGCUACUAAGGGCAUACGGCGGAUGCCUAGGCGCCAUCAGCCGAUGAAGGACGCGGUAAGCUGCGAAAAGCUACGGGGAACUGCAAGCAAGUAUUGAUCCGUAGAUGUCCGAAUGGGGAAACCCACCUGCCGUCAUGGGCAGGUAUCCGAAAGGAAGGGAACCCGGGGAACUGAAACAUCUAAGUACCCGGAGGAAGAGAAAUCAAACGAGAUGCCCACAGUAGCGGCGAGCGAAGAGGGCAGAGGGCAAACCGGGGAGCUACGGCUCUUCGGGGUUGAGGACUGCAUUUAGUCUUAAUGGUCUAUCCGAACUACCUGGAAAGGUAGGCAACACAGUGUAAAAGCCACGUAGGUUAAAGACCAGAGAGAUGAGCAGUAUCCAGAGUACCACGAGGCACGAGGAAUCUUGUGGGAAGCCGGGGGGACCACCCUCCAACCCUAAACACUGAAUGGCGACCGAUAGCGCAUAGUACCGUGAGGGAAAGGUGAAAAGAACCCCGGGAGGGGAGUGAAAGAGAACCUGAAACCGUAUGUCUACAAGCAGUCGGAGCGAAAGCGACGGCGUGCCUAUUGAAGAAUGAACCAACGAGUUACGUGCACUAGCGAGGUUAAGUGGAAGACACGGAGCCGAAGCGAAAGCGAGUCUUAAGAGGGCGGAUAGUUAGUGUACGUAGACCCGAAACCGCAGUGAUCUACCCAUGUCCAGGUUGAAGCGCAGGUAAAAUUGCGUGGAGGACCGAACCUGUGAGCGUUGAAAAGCUUUAGGAUGAGAUGUGGGUAGAGGUGAAAUUCCAAUCGAACGCGGAGAUAGCUGGUUCUCCCCGAAAUAGCUUUAGGGCUAGCCUCAAGUAGUAAGUAUAGGCGGUAGAGCACUGAUCGGGCUAGGGGCCAUAAAGGUUACCGAACCCUGUCAAACUCCGAAUGGUUAUACUGUAGAGCUUGGGAGUCAGACUACGAGUGAUAAGAUCCGUGGUCAAAAGGGAAACAGCCCAGACCACCAGCUAAGGUCCCCAAUGUCGUACUAAGUGGAAAAGGAUGUGGGGUCUCUAAAACAACCAGGAUGUUGGCUUAGAAGCAGCCACCAUUUAAAGAGUGCGUAAUAGCUCACUGGUCGAGAGACCCUGCGCCGAAGAUUACCGGGGCUAAAGUACGAAACCGAAGCUGUGGCUACGACGUAAGUCGUGGGGUAGGGGAGCGUUCUGUGAGGGCUGAAGUCGUUCUGUAAGGAACGGUGGACUUCACAGAAGUGAGAAUGUUGGUAUGAGUAGCGAAAAGAAUGGUGAGAAUCCAUUCCACCGAAAGCAUAAGGAUUCCUGGGCAACGAUCGUCGUCCCAGGGUAAGUCGGGACCUAAUCCGAGGCAUGGAGCGUAGGAGAUGGACAACUGGCAGAUAUUCCAGUACCGGUAAUGAUUGUUUGAGCGAUGGAGUGACACAGGAGGGCAGGCAGGCAGGAGAUUGGUUGUUCCUGUACAAGCGUGUAGGAUGGGACGUAGGCAAAUCCGCGUCCUGUGAGUCUGAGGCGUGAUGUGGAGGUUCCAGAAACGGAACUGAAGCUGCUGACCCCACACUGUCGAGAAAAGCUUCUAGUUAGAGAAUUACCGCCCGUACCGUAAACCGACACAGGUAUGCGGGGAGAGAAUCCUAAGGUGCGCGGGAGAACCCUCGUUAAGGAACUCGGCAAAAUGUACCCGUAACUUCGGGAUAAGGGUAGCCGCUGUUGUGAAGUCUGAACAGACGGAGCAUGAGGCGGUCGCAGAGAAGAGGCCCAAGCGACUGUUUACCACAAACACAGGUGCCUGCUAAAGAGAAAUCUGACGUAUAGGUGCUGACACCUGCCCAGUGCCGGAAGGUUAAGGAAGGAUGUCCGGAGCAAUCCAAAGCAUUCGACCGAAGCCCCGGUGAACGGCGGCCGUAACUAUAACGGUCCUAAGGUAGCGAAAUUCCUUGUCGGGUAAG